rnacentral:rRNA from 1 species
UACGUAGGCAGCGAGCGUUGUUCGGAGUUACUGGGCGUAAAGGGUGUGUAGGCGGUUUUCUAAGUUUGGUGUGAAAUCUCCCGGCUCAACCGGGAGGGUGCGCCGAAAACUGGGAGACUAGAGUGCGGGAUGGGAGAGUAGAAUUCCUGGUGUAGCGGUGAAAUGCGUAGAUAUCAGGAGGAAUACCGGUGGGGUAGACGGCUCUCUGGACCGCCACUGACGCUGAGACACGAAAGCCAGGGGAGCAAACGGG